rnacentral:rRNA from 1 species
CAGUCGCCGCGGGAAUACGUAGGUGGCAAGCGUUGUCCGGAAUUAUUGGGCGUAAAGGGCUCGCAGGCGGUUUCUUAAGUCCGAUGUGAAAGCCCCCGGCUCAACCGGGGAGGGUCAUUGGAAACUGGGAAACUUGAGUGCAGAAGAGGAGAGUGGAAUUCCACGUGUAGCGGUGAAAUGCGUAGAGAUGUGGAGGAACACCAGUGGCGAAGGCGACUCUCUGGUCUGUAACUGACGCUGAGGAGCGAAAGCGUGGGGAGCGAACAGGAUUAGAUACCCCAGUAGUCCCUGUCUCUUAUAC